rnacentral:rRNA from 1 species
UACGAAGGGGGCUAGCGUUGUUCGGAUUUACUGGGCGUAAAGCGCACGUAGGCGGGUCGUUAAGUCAGAGGUGAAAUCCCGGAGCUCAACUCCGGAACUGCCUUUGAUACUGGCGACCUUGAGGCUGGAAGAGGUUAGUGGAAUUCCCAGUGUAGAGGUGAAAUUCGUAGAUAUUGGGAAGAACACCAGUGGCGAAGGCGGCUAACUGGUCCAGAUCUGACGCUGAGGUGCGAAAGCGUGGGGAGCAAACAGG